AUGUUGGUAGGUGGUUCAAGUACCAUUGCUUGCCAAACGUCGAACGAACUUUAGUUAGUUCUAGUUAUGAUCAGUAAUAUUAAUAUUUAGUAGGGAGUGAACGUUAACAUGCUUUAUAGUUGUGCGUUAAACCAAAAUCAACACACUUCAACAAGAUAAGAGGCAUACUGAACUUAAUACAAUAGCAAAAACUUUGAAUUUUAUCGCUUAAUGGCCGGGUACUCGACAUUAACAGUUAAUAGAAAGACUCGAACCAUGUGUAAGCAUAUGGUCUACGAACUAUAUUUGGGGCAAAAUAAUUGCGGUGUUUUGAGCUUUCUGACUGCUGUUGUUCGCUUACGGAAAACGUAACAGGUAAGUAAUCAAAUUCAGGUAAUCUGAGCGGCGUCCAAGCAUUAAGUCCAGGCCCAGGAAUCUUCUGUGCAAACAUAUGUGAAAUGAGAAACUUAAAAUAGUGACAGUUUAAGAAAAAGAUAUUCAACAUGUUUGUAUAAAUAUACCAUAUGUUUACCUCUC